CAAAGUUGUGAGGAUGAAGAGCAGUGGUACUUAUAAGGCUGAGUAAAAAGCCUUGCUGAUGGCUUUUCAAAUAGACAGUUUGGUGGACUGCUCUACAUUUGGCCUGUGCCAAUGGCCAUCCAGAAGUGGUAAAACUCCUGCUGCACAGAAAAUGUCAACUUCACAUCUUGGAUGGGGAAAAGAGGACAGCUCUCAUAAAGGCUGUCCAAUGUCAGGAAGAGGAAUGUGCAACUAUUUUACUAGAACAUGGCACUGAUCCAAAUAUCCCAGAUGUCUAUGGCAACACUACUCUACAUUAUGCCAUCUAUAAUGAGGAUAAAUCAAUGACAAAAAAACUACUUUCUUAUGGUGCAAAUAUUGAAUCAGAAAACAAGGGUGGACUUACACCAUUUUUACUUGCCGUACAUGAACAAAAACAGCAAAUGGUGGAAUUUUUAGUAAAGAAGAAAGCAAAUUUAAAUGCUGUGGACAACUUUAAAAGAACAGCCCUCAUACUUGCUGUACGUUGUGGAUCAGAAAUUAUGGUCAGCAUUCUUCUUCAGCUAAAUAUUGAUGUAUUUUCUCAAGAUAUAUAUGGACGAACAGCAGGGGACUAUGCUGUUUCUAGGCAUUAUAUUAAGUAAGUGUUUACAUUGAAAGGCUAUUAACACUAAAAUGUUAAGGUUUACAAUACUUAUAAGUAUCAAA
rnacentral:lncRNA from 1 species